AUGCCGUCAGGUUUAGGAGUACAUUUCGUGCUAAGAUUACUUGUUUGGCAACCAAGAUUUAUUCUCAGGUCAUGCUCCUUCCUUACAGGUUGUUCUGAAAUGGCCGGCGGCAUCACUUGUGGAUCCUUGCUGCAGAAAUUACAGCUUGUAUGGGAUGAAGUUGGUGAGAGCGACGAGGACCGUGACAAGGUCCUGUACCAGCUGGACCAGGAGUGCCUGGAUGUCUACAAGAGGAAAGUUGACCAGGCCACCAACUCUAGGGAUCUCCUUAUCCAGGCGCUGGAUGACUCGAAGAUCGAGCUUGCCAGACUUCUUUCUGCCCUUGGGGAAAAAGCUGUUGCGAGAACUCCUGAGAAGACAUCAGGGACAAUCAAGCAACAGUUAGCUGCUAUCGCUCCAACACUUGAGCAGUUGAAUAAGAAGAAGAAUGAGAGAAAGAGGGAAUUUGUUAGUGUACAGUCACAAAUUGAUCAAAUAUGUGGUGAGAUUGCUGGCACCACAGAGGUCGGUGAGCAGGUGGCUACACCACAGGUCAACGAGGAUGAUUUGACACUUGAGAGGCUUGAAGAUUUUCGCUCCCAACUCCAGGAGCUUGAGAAAGAGAAGAGCAAUAGGUUGGAGAAGGUUCUUGACUAUGUAAGCAUGGUACAUGAUCUAUGUACCGUCUUGGGCAUGGAUUUUCUCAGCACCGUGACUGAAGUUCAUCCCAGUCUAGAUGACUCCAUUGCUGAUAACUGCAAGAGCAUCAGCGAUGAUACAUUAUCAAAACUUGACAAGACAGUAGCCACACUUCAUGAAGAUAAAAAGUUGAGGCUAAGCAAGCUUCAAGAGCUUGCUGGUCAACUGUAUGAUCUUUGGGAUCUCAUGGAUGCUCCCACACAAGAAAGGAGCAUGUUUGAUCAUGUUACCUGCAACAGAUCAGCAUCUGUAGAUGAAGUCACUGCUCCUGGAGCACUUGCACUUGAUUUAAUUGAACAGGCUGAGACAGAGGUUCAAAGGCUAGACCAGCUAAAAUACAGUAAGAUGAAAGAAAUCGCUUUCAAGAAGCAAACUGAGUUGGAAGACAUCUAUGCCGGUGCUCACACAGUAAUAGACACCGCAGCUGCCCAUAUGAAAUUGUUGGCACUGAUUGAGGCAGGGAACAUAGAACCAACAGAACUAAUUGCAGAUAUGGAAGGUCAGAUAGCAAAAGCAAAGGAAGAAGCAUUGAGCAGAAAGGAUAUAUUAGAUAAAGUUGAAAAAUGGAUGUCUGCGUGUGAAGAAGAAAGUUGGCUUGAAGAUUAUAACAGGGAUGACAACAGAUAUAACUCCAGCCGAGGUGCCCAUCUGAAUCUCAAACGUGCAGAAAAAGCUCGUAUUCUUGUCAGCAAGAUUCCAGCGCUUGUUGAAACUCUGGUGGCCAAGACUAGGGCAUGGGAAGAGAGUCGUGGUCUGUCCUUUAUGUAUGACGGUGUACCGCUUCUAGCUAUGUUGGACGAGUAUGUUAUGCUAAGGGAGGAAAGAGAAGAAGACAAGAAAAGAAUGAAGGAACAAAAGCGCUAUGUCGAGCAGAAACUGAACACUGACCACGAAGGGCCGUUUGGAUCGCGAGUCAGCCCCAACAGGCCGGCUACGGCAAAGAAGUUACCCGGCCCAAAGUCCAACGGCACCUCCAUGAAUGGCACUCCUCCGAGCAGAAGACUAUCGAUCAGUGGUCAGCAGAAUGGAAGGUCUGGGGGGAAGGACAGCAAGAGAGACAGCGCGACGAAGGCCGCCUCGUCUCCGGGGAACGGAGCCGCCGCCGCAGCUGCCAAGGAAGACGCAUCCUCCCACAUUUCCGGCACCGAUAUGGCUCCGACCACGCCGUGA
rnacentral:rRNA from 1 species